GCUGGGCAUGGUAGUGCAUGCUUGUAAUCCCAGUGACUCAGGAGGCUGAAGCAGGAGGAUCAAGAGUUGAAAACCAGCCUCAG
rnacentral:sRNA from 1 species